rnacentral:rRNA from 1 species
ACGAACGCUGGCGGCGUGCUUAACACAUGCAAGUCGAACGGAAAGGCCCUGCUUUUGUGGGGUGCUCGAGUGGCGAACGGGUGAGUAACACGUGAGUAACCUGCCCUUGACUUUGGGAUAACUUCAGGAAACUGGGGCUAAUACCGGAUAGGAGCUCCUGCUGCAUGGUGGGGGUUGGAAAGUUUCGGCGGUUGGGGAUGGACUCGCGGCUUAUCAGCUUGUUGGUGGGGUAGUGGCUUACCAAGGCUUUGACGGGUAGCCGGCCUGAGAGGGUGACCGGCCACAUUGGGACUGAGAUACGGCCCAGACUCCUACGGGAGGCAGCAGUGGGGAAUAUUGCACAAUAGGCGGAAGCCUGAUGCAGCAACGCCGCGUGCGGGAUGACGGCCUUCGGGUUGUAAACCGCUUUCGCCUGUGACGAAGCGUGAGUGACGGUAAUGGGUAAAGAAGCACCGGCUAACUACGUG